GGAUAAAGAGUAACUCCAGUUGUUAUGGAAACGCGUUGUUUCUGAUUUAGGGGUCAACACGUUCGUCAUCUCCCCCAUUCGAGAGCUAAUCUCAACCUAAGGUUUCCAUGGCGUUGUUUCAUCUUCUUCCUAACAAUCCGAGGAGCUAUCAGUUACAGAUUCAUCCUCUUAAAUCCACCACCCACGAUCUACCUGUUCUUUCAUCUUCUUCCUAACAAUCCGAGAAGCUAUACAGAUUCAUCCUCUUAAAUCCACCAUCCACGAUCUACCUUGAAUGCGAUCUUCACGCAAGGCCGUGGAACCUCGACUAUAAAAAGACCGGACGCGUACGGCACAGGGGAGGAGGAAAGCGGUAGUGACGGAGGAGAGGAGGAUCAAGGCAAUGAGGGACCAGCCGUGUCCGGUUUGAAUCCGGUUGUUAUUUGUUCAUUGUCUUCCCAUUUACAAGCGACUGGGUUCUAUGUUUUACUUAAAACUCUCGGGUUCACUUAAAACUUCAUUAUAUUCAGCUCCAUGUGCCUGUCAAGUUCUUUCUUUUGUUUAAGGCGGACACCGCCGAAGGUGCAGAGAUGUAUAAGGUCAUCAAAGAGACUACUAAUCACCGCAGGGUGAAGUUCACAGAUUUAUAAUGUGGUCUGGUACGCUCUGUAGAAUUGUGUUGUCUCAGCUGUAGUUUAGCUGCUUGGUGGAGCUUCUUUGGGUGUGAUAAAGCUGUGAGAUCUAGAAGAAACAAAGAGUUAGUUGAUAAAUUUCAUGCGCUCCUUUUGAAGAGUUGUUGCUCCUUAUUGUCAAAUGUGGAUUAUGGUGCGUUGGUUAAAGCUUUUGUUGUAAGCUUGCAAACCGCUAUUGCAACUAAACUAUAGAGGAUAUAAAAUAUGGCCAGGACGAGCAACAAAAUGUUAAGUUGGUGCAAUCCUUUCAAAGUUAAAAGUGGCUCAUAUCCAUUUAGACACGGUAACAUGGAGAGAGUAGCUUUUGAAGGAACACGGAUCAUGAUAACGUAUGUUUCUCCAAAUGUGAUUUAAUGAGGAAAUGAAUCCCAUAAUCGAUUACCAAUUAUAUUAAUUUUUU